AUGGAGUGGAACAAGCUAGUGUAUUCAUUUCUUGCCUUUUACCAGAGAUGACCGUGGUUCAUAUCCAUAAUACUCCAUUCAUCAAAUCUUUGGAAUCACACUUCUCAGAUC
rnacentral:snRNA from 1 species